rnacentral:rRNA from 1 species
CCUACGGGAGGCUGCAGUCGAGAAUCAUUCACAAUGGGGGAAACCCUGAUGGUGCGACGCCGCGUGGGGGAAUGAAGGUCUUCGGAUUGUAAACCCCUGUCAUGUGGGAGCAAAUUAAAAAGAUAGUACCCCAAGAGGAAGAGACGGCUAACUCUGUGCCAGCACCCGCGGUAAUACAGAGGUCUCAAGCGUUGUUCGGAAUCUCUGGGCGUAAAGCGUGCGUAGGGUGUUUCGUAAGUCGUGUGUGAAAGGCGCGGGCUCAACCCGCGGACAGCACCUGAUACUGCGAGACUAGAGUGAGGGAGGGGGAAGCGGAAUGCGCGGUGUAGCAGUGAAAUGCGUAGAUAUCGCGAGGAACACUCGUGGCGAAGGCGGGUUCCUGGACAUUAACUGACGCUGAGGCACGAAGGCCAGGGGAGCGAAAGGGAUUAGAUACCCGAGUAGUC